AAACUCUAACCCUUACUCUUCUUAGAGUUCCACUUUUUCUUUACAGAUGUGGAAAGCAGUCCGAUUACAAGGCAACAGGCAUCUGCCAAUUCAAAAAUCCCUUCAAAGAAGUCAUCAGGAACAACAGUAAUUGUGCUCCCAAGUCGUGACAACACUUCAUCAUCAAAAACCACAAAAUAAGCAUCAUUGGUGGGCCUCUCCCUACAUGCUUAUCACUGUGUCCAAGAACUAUAUGCAGAGUGAAAAGUUGGUCACCACUCAGAAUAACAAAUACCUACAAAUACUGUGUUCAACUUUAACCGCUUGCAGUUAAGUUAAAGCUUGCAGAGUAUAGCAAAGAGCUCAACUAGAACAAAUGGAAGAAUGGAAUUGGCCAGAAUAUAAUCGCCUCACUGGAAUGAAGCCAAGGCUUCUGAAGAUCCCUCCUUUCUUUUUAUUUAAGUGGGAAAAAAGGUUAAACAUCUUAAAGGAUCCCAAGAAGUCAACAGGGCAGACUGUAAUUUAAUACAGUCUGGCUGAUAAAGAAAUCUUUUGUUUCUUUCUGAGCUCCCUCCUUUACAUGCACCAUGUGAGGGAAGAGGAAAAUUGGCUAUUAUUUUCAGAAAUGAGGUCGAGAGCCCACAACAAGGGGAAGACCAAAGGCUACACAAUCUCAGCGCCCCAAGCACUAUGGAAAGGUUUUCCUUUGAUCAGGGAGGAAAAUGGGAAUUGUGUGAAAUGGAAAGCUUCCCAAGAGGAUCAAAAUUCCAUCUGAAAAGCAAAGCUGUAUCAUAAAGGAACUUCCAGUGUUGGGAAGAGUUAACAGAAAGAAGGGCAUUAGACCUAGUCUAUGAAAUUCCUUACACACUUGGCAAGACUCACCAAACCCCAGUAGUGGAAAUUCCAUCCCAAGGUUAUUCAUCCCUGAGCAGCACUUGCACUAAGUGUUCUUUAAUACAUUGGCCAUAUCCUUUCUGCAGCAGUUAGCUCUUGUUCACUUGUAGUAUUUUUUUAUAUGGCAGAGCAUCUUCAAAGAAGCUGAAAUUGGGCUAAGUACUGCAGUUCUGUCUGGCAAAUGAGCUGCAAAAACAUUUUAGCAUGCUGCUCCUGAUUCUACUGUUAAUGAAUCAUCACUAUUCCCAUUAAAAGGGAGUUUUCAGAAAUUACUGAUAAAAACAUUAAUAUUAAAAUCUCUCUUUAAAAACCUGGAAA